AUUGUGGUCCAAAGUAUUCACAUUGAAAUCCCAAAAAGUCACAUUUUAUUGAAUUACCCUUUUCAUGGUAAACAUUUUAUUUGUUUGCAGUUUGCACAUAUUGGUCUAUGAUCAAUUAAGUGAUUAUUGAGCCUUUCACCACAAAGGCUCAAUAAUCACUUCACUACUUUUAUCUUCUUUUAUUUACACCCGAUAUUGGCA